rnacentral:lncRNA from 1 species
GAUAAAGUUACAUUUUACUAUAAGAUACUAAGUGAGAUUGACCACCAAGAAAGUUGGUCCGAGAGUUAAGGCAAGAGACAAGUGAAAGCCUGAGGCAAAGUACCGCCAAGGCCAGGAAGAGCCGCUUAGGGAAAAAGCUAGGGCCACUGAAUGUCCAGAUUGUCAUUAUCCGCAACCUACGGAUGGCUAAUCUCAUAAGGAAUCUUACGGGAAAAACUGUAACUUCAUCUCAAAAACUUAGAGUAAAAAAUAAA